rnacentral:tRNA from 1 species
GACUGGAUAGCCUAGUGGUAAAGGUAUCACAUUGACAAUGCUGAGGUCCCAGGUUCAAAUCCUGGUCUAGUCA